AAGGACCUGAACGAACAGGACUUCAUAACGCCACCUACAACAGAGCCACGUUGAACCCAAACGGACCUGCAGGUUCGUGGUCACCCGCUCCUGUCUGCAGCAUCCCCUCAGCAUGAACCUGACCGUCCAAGAUUGAGCAACAACCCUAGGUUUGGCCGGUCCUUACAAGUAAAUGAAUACAAUUGCAUCAGAUUACAGCCCACUAACACGCUCCCACUUACGUUAAAUAAUUGUAAUUCAUCUUAGAUGCAACUGAUGCAGCUUAAAUAUCUCAGAACGUGCUCAAGUGCAGUGCCUCAUUAGCUUCUUUUCCUUCCUAAUAUCCAGGGCUACUUUGAAUGAUACUGAAAUGAAACCAACCUGCAAAACACAGUGGCUUUAUAUGACCAUUCUCCUAUGUCUAUGAUGGAAACUAAAAUAAGGUAAGAAGUUCUCACAUGUAAAAAGCGUGGGCCAUUUCAGAAUCUACAACUUUUCAUUCAGGCCUUUAUAUUUUGAAAUAUAAAGAACUAAACAAGAGGGGUUUUUUUUUUAUUUGAAUAGAAGUCUUCAUCUGAAUUAAGUAUUUCAUAGUGCUGGUCAGCGCUGAAAUGUCAAAGCUGAUACUGUCAAUUCCCAAGCCGAGAUUAAUCUCUUUCCUUUGCAUAUUUCCAUCCUUUCAUACUCUUUUUUGCUAGCCUAACCAAGCCCAGAGCAGCAACGAUGCCACGCCGUGUGUCAGCUCAUGUUGGCUAUGUUCCGUGCUCCUCUGCAUGCCCCCGACAGCAUCUUGCUGGGGCAGAGCCUGAUCUGAGGUUAUUUUGCUCUAUAUGAUGCAGAAGAUGGAACAAACCAGAGAAGCUCACAGGACCUGCACCGAGUUUGCAGCACUGGAAGCUGUAACACCUUUAUUUUACUGAUGAACAAACACCUUUGACAUGGCAGAACUGAAAAACCCAGAGCCCUGUAAUGCCACAUCAGUUUGAUAACAUUUAACAUUUCAUAAAAAGUAAAUAUUCUUUUCUAUUUUGCCUUCUUAAAGAUACUCUGUGGUCAUCUGCAAUGUCAAAAGAACGUAUUCUCAAGUAAAAUGAGAAAACCA